GGGGAAUAUUGGACAAUGGGCGAAAGCCUGAUCCAGCAAUGCCGCGUGAGUGAUGAAGGCCCUCGGGUCGUAAAGCUCUGUGGAGGGGGAAGAAUCCUUGCAGCAUCAGAUCCUGCAAGUUGACGGUACCCCUUUAGCAAGCACCGGCUAACUCCGUGCCCGCAGCCGCGGUAAUGCGGAGGGUGCAAACGUUGCUCGGAAUCAUUGGGCGUAAAGCGCACGUAGGCGGACUGUUAAGUCGGAUGUGAAAUCCCUCAGCUUAACUGAGGAAGUGCACUCGAAACUGGCAGUCUUGAAUAUGGAAGAGGGUCGCGGAAUUCCCGGUGUAGAGGUGAAAUUCGUAGAUAUCGGGAGGAACACCAGUGGCGAAGGCGGCGACCUGGGCCAAUAUUGACGCUGAGGUGCGAAAGCGUGGGGAGCAAA
rnacentral:rRNA from 1 species